AUUGAACGCUGGCGGCAUGCCUUAUACAUGCAAGUCGAACGGCAGCACGGGUGCUUGCACCCGGUGGCGAGUGGCGCACGGGUGAGUAUUACAUGGGGACAUGUCCUCUAGUGGGGGAGAGCCCGGCGAAAGCCGGAUUAAUACUGCAUACUAACAACUGAUAACAUCGGGGUACCUUCUGGACGCGCGCUAUACGGUUGGCCGAUAGCUGAUUAGCUAGUUGGUGGGGUAAAGGCCUACCAAGGCGACGACCAGUAGCUGGUCUGAGAGGACGACCAGCCACACUGGAACUGAGACACGGCCCAGACUCCUACGGGAGGCAGCAGUGGGGAAUUUUGGACAAUGGGCGAAAGCCUGAUCCAGCAAUGCCGCGUGUGUGAAGAAGGCCUUCGGGUUGUAAAGCACUUUUGUCCGGAAAGAAAUCCUUGGCUCUAAUACAGUCGGGGGAUGACGGUACCGGAAGAGUAAGCACCGGCUAACUACGUG
rnacentral:rRNA from 1 species